UGGCUCCUACGGGACGCAGCAGUGGGGAAUAUUGGGCAAUGGGGGGAACCCUGACCCAGCGACGCCGCGUGAGUGAAGAAGGCCUUCGGGUUGUAAAACUCUGUCCUUAUCGAAGAGAGGUGGGUAUGUGAAUAAUGUACUCAUAGGACGGUAGAUAAGGAGGAAGCCCCGGCUAACUACGUGCCAGCAGCCGCGGUAAUACGUAGGGGGCGAGCGUUGUCCGGAAUCACUGGGCGUAAAGGGCGCGUAGGCGGUUUAAUAAGUCAGUGGUGAAAACUGAGGGCUCAACCCUCAGCCUGCCACUG
rnacentral:rRNA from 1 species